rnacentral:rRNA from 1 species
CGUAGGGCGCAAGCGUUGUCCGGAAUUAUUGGGCGUAAAGAGCUCGUAGGCGGCUUGGUCACGUCGGGUGUGAAAGCCCGGGGCUUAACCCCGGGUCUGCAUUCGAUACGGGCUAGCUAGAGUGUGGUAGGGGAGAUCGGAAUUCCUGGUGUAGCGGUGAAAUGCGCAGAUAUCAGGAGGAACACCGGUGGCGAAGGCAGAUCUCUGGGCCAUUACUGACGCUGAGGAGCGAAAGCGUGGGGAGCGAACAGGAUUAGAUACCCUGGUAGUCCACGCCGUAAACGGUGGGAACUAGGUGUUGGCGACAUUCCACGUCGUCGGUGCCGCAGCUAACGCAUUAAGUUCCCCGCCUGGGGAGUACGGCCGCAAGGCUAA